rnacentral:rRNA from 1 species
UUAAGCGAAUAAGCGUACACGGUGGAUGCCUAGGCAAUCAGAGGCGAUGAAGGACGUGCUAAUCUGCGAAAAGCGUCGGUAAGGUGAUAUGAACCGUUAUACCCGACGAUAUCCGAAUGGGGAAACCCAGUAUCCAAUGGAUACUAUCAUUAACUGAAUCCAUAGGUUAAUGAGGCGAACCGGGAGAACUGAAACAUCUCAGUACCCCGAGGAAAAGAAAUCAACCGAGAUUCCCCUAGUAGCGGCGAGCGAACGGGGAGCAGCCCAGAGUCUUAAUCAAUAGCAGUGUCAGGAGAACGGUCUGGAAAGUCCGGCAGUAAAGGGUGAUAGCCCCGUAUCUGAAGAUGCUGUUAUUGUGAACUCGACGAGUAGGGCGGGACACGUGUUAUCCUGUCUGAAUAUGGGGGGACCAUCCUCCAAGGCUAAAUACUCCUGAUUGACCGAUAGUGAACCAGUACCGUGAGGGAAAGGCGAAAAGAACCCCGGCGAGGGGAGUGAAAAAGAACCUGAAACCGUGUACGUACAAGCAGUAGGAGCCUCUUUAUGGGGUGACUGCGUACCUUUUGUAUAAUGGGUCAGCGACUUAUAUUCUGUAGCAAGGUUAACCGUAUAGGGGAGCCGUAGGGAAACCGAGUCUUAACUGGGCGAAUGAGUUGCAGGGUAUAGACCCGAAACCCGGUGAUCUAUCCAUGGGCAGGUUGAAGGUUGGGUAACACUAACUGGAGGACCGAACCGACUAAUGUUGAAAAAUUAGCGGAUGACUUGUGGAUGGGGGUGAAAGGCCAAUCAAACCGGGAGAUAGCUGGUUCUCCCCGAAAGCUAUUUAGGUAGCGCCUCGUGAACUCAUCUUCGGGGGUAGAGCACUGUUUCGACUAGGGGGUCAUCCCGACUUACCAACUCGAUGCAAACUGCGAAUACCGAAGAAUGUUAUCACGGGAGACACACGGCGGGUGCUAACGUCCGUCGUGAAGAGGGAAACAACCCAGACCGCCAGCUAAGGUCCCAAAGUCAUGGUUAAGUGGGAAACGAAGUGGGAAGGCUCAGACAGCCAGGAUGUUGGCUUAGAAGCAGCCAUCAUUUAAAGAAAGCGUAAUAGCUCACUGGUCGAGUCGGCCCGCGCGGAAGAUGUAACGGGGCUAAACCAUGCACCGAAGCUGCGGCAGCGACACAAAGUGUUGUUGGGUAGGGGAGCGUUCUGUAAGCCUGCGAAGGUGUACUGUGAGGUAUGCUGGAGGUAUCAGAAGUGCGAAUGCUGACAUAAGUAACGAUAAUGCGGGUGAAAAACCCGCACGCCGGAAGACCAAGGGUUCCUGUCCAACGUUAAUCGGGGCAGGGUGAGUCGACCCCUAAGGCGAGGCUGAAAAGCGUAGUCGAUGGGAAACGGGUUAAUAUUCCCGUACUGGUGGUAACUGCGAUGGGGGAACGGAGAAGGCUAGGUUGUCCGGGCGACGGUCGUCCCGGUUCAAGCAGGUAGGCAGAGUGAUUAGGCAAAUCCGGUCACUUAAUGCUGAGAUGUGAUGACGAACCACCAAGGUGGUGAAGCAAUUGAUGCCCCGCUUCCAGGAAAAGCCUCUAAGCUUCAGGUUACCAACAAUCGUACCCCAAACCGACACAGGUGGUCAGGUAGAGAAUACUCAGGCGCUUGAGAGAACUCGGGUGAAGGAACUAGGCAAAAUGGUGCCGUAACUUCGGGAGAAGGCACGCUGGCGGUAGGUAAAGUCCCUCGCGGACGGCGCUGAAGCCAGUCGAAGAUACCAGCUGGCUGCAACUGUUUAUUAAAAACACAGCACUGUGCAAACACGAAAGUGGACGUAUACGGUGUGACGCCUGCCCGGUGCUGGAAGGUUAAUUGAUGGGGUUAGCGUAAGCGAAGCUCCUGAUCGAAGCCCCAGUAAACGGCGGCCGUAACUAUAACGGUCCUAAGGUAGCGAAAUUCCUUGUCGGGUAAGUUCCGACCUGCACGAAUGGCGUAAUGAUGGCCAGGCUGUCUCCACCCGAGACUCAGUGAAAUUGAACUCGCUGUGAAGAUGCAGUGUACCCGCGGCAAGACGGAAAGACCCCGUGAACCUUUACUAUAGCUUGACACUGAACAUUGAGCCUUGAUGUGUAGGAUAGGUGGGAGGCUUUGAAGUGUGGACGCCAGUCUGCAUGGAGCCAACCUUGAAAUACCACCCUUUAACGUUUGAUGUUCUAACCUAGGCCCAUAAACUGGGUCGGGGACCGUGUCUGGUGGGUAGUUUGACUGGGGCGGUCUCCUCCUAAAGAGUAACGGAGGAGCACGAAGGUUGGCUAAGCAUGGUCGGACAUCAUGCGGUUAGUGCAAAGGCAUAAGCCAGCUUGACUGCGAGAGUGACGGCUCGAGCAGGUACGAAAGUAGGUCUUAGUGAUCCGGUGGUUCUGAAUGGAAGGGCCAUCGCUCAACGGAUAAAAGGUACUCCGGGGAUAACAGGCUGAUACCGCCCAAGAGUUCAUAUCGACGGCGGUGUUUGGCACCUCGAUGUCGGCUCAUCACAUCCUGGGGCUGAAGUAGGUCCCAAGGGUAUGGCUGUUCGCCAUUUAAAGUGGUACGCGAGCUGGGUUUAGAACGUCGUGAGACAGUUCGGUCCCUAUCUGCCGUGGGCGUUGGAAGAUUGAGAGGGGUUGCUCCUAGUACGAGAGGACCGGAGUGAACGCACCACUGGUGUUCGGGUUGUCAUGCCAAUGGCAUUGCCCGGUAGCUAAGUGCGGAAGAGAUAACCGCUGAAAGCAUCUAAGCGGGAAACUUGCCUCGAGAUGAGUCUUCCCUGUCGCUUUAAGUGACCUAAAGGAACGUUUAAGACUAAGACGUUGAUAGGCUGGGUGUGUAAGCGUAGCGAUACGUUGAGCUAACCAGUACUAAUGAACCGUGAGGCUUAACCUG